rnacentral:rRNA from 1 species
GUGGAUGCCUUGGCGAUUACAGGCGAUGAAGGACGUGAUAGCCUGCGAAAAGCUGCGGG